GAUGAACGCUGGCGGCGGGCCUAAUACAUGCAAGUCGAGCGAACAGACGAGGAUCUCUCCCUAUCGACGUUGGCGACGGACGGGUGAGUAACAUGUAGCUAACCUUCAUCUGAGGCUUGGCCAACAUCGGGUAGCAGGAACUACUAAUGGAUAAUAAGGCGAACAUUAUCGAUCGUUAGAAAAUGAAGACUUUGAUGAUGGUCAUAGAUGGCACUGCGCCGUAUUAGCGAGUAGGUAAGGUAACGGCUAACCAAGGCAACGAUACGUAGCCGAGCUGAGAGGGUGAUCGGCCACACUGGAACUGAGACACGGUCCAGACUCCUACGGGAGGCAGCAGUAGGGAAUCUUCCGCAAUGGGCGAAAGCCUGACGGAGCAACGCCGCGUGAGUGAUGAAGGUCUUCGGAUCGUAAAACUCUGUUAUUAGGGAAGAACAAACGUGUAAGUAACUGUGCACGUCUUGACGGUACCUAAUCAGAAAGCCACGGCUAACUACGUG
rnacentral:rRNA from 1 species